CCUUGCCGAAUCAUUCCAUACUCCACCUAAUCAAUCUCACUGUUUCGCAUAACCGUGACUGUCUGACUGUCCCCUUCUCUUUCUCCCGUCAAUGCAUUCCUCUCCUCCCAUCAGUGGUGGUCUUUGCCCUUCUGAAUUCUUGAUUCGUUCUGACCCUAUACUCUAGUUCGCAAUUUGUUGUCGCUUUCUGUCAAUUUCUCGCAUGCAAGUAAGGAGAUAAUCUAGCAUCGGAGAGCUAUCUCGUCGGAGGGGCAAAAAGCUUCGAGAUGUAAGGAAUGGGCCAUCAGAGGUGGCCGCUAGAGGUGAUUGCGUCCUCGUCGUCCAUGGCGGCACAGUCGGUAGGCCGGGGCAGGGCCAUCCCGCUGUCCGAGCUGACCGAUUGCUUCAGGUCGUUGGGAAGCGAGGCGCGACCGUUGAUAGCAAAGUAGCCCAUCCACAUCGAGGCCACAGUAACCACGACAUUUGGGCGGCGGUCUGAUGGGAAUGUCCGCGCCGGAAGGAGGGCCAGGCUCUCAGUGAUGUAGGCGCUGGCCAGGCUCAAACCCAUGGCACUGUCAUCCUUCGAGCAACCGCAGAACUUGUGGCGGCCUGUAAUGAGGGGCCGAAUGUGAACUGUGGAGGAGAAAAGAAUAAUUUUCAUUCCGGUCAAAUUCUCAGACAGGAUCAGCAGGUGGUCGCAGUUGACAGAGAGCCACAUAGAGUGAAUGGAGCUAAUGAGCUAGCAGCUGGUAUGUUCCUCUUCCUUGAAUCACUAAAACUAAACUUCCUUUACAGGUAUCAGAUAAGGUAAUCAAUCAUCCCUCCAUCCUUUCCACUAAGCUAGAGCCCUUGAAUUGCUGAAAUUGGCCUUCAUUUGCAUGCACCAGUUAACUGCAUCAAUCAGCCUAGGAUUCUUUUUGUUGAGCUGGAGGAAACAACUAUACUUUCCUAUAAUUUACUUUCCAGUUGUCUAGUAUACUCAGUUCUGCUCUCCCUGUAGAAUAUGUUAUACAACUAAAAAGGCAAAUCAGAAGACCAAAUACACAGAGACCAUGACUGUGCACUAAAUGGACUGAUUAUAAAGAUCAAAUGCGGUAAAAAAUAGAUGAAAUAGUUUGGCAAGUAGCAUCGCUUGGAAGGUUCUUGCAUACAUGAGAGAAAGAGACACUUAACAAUAAAACAUCUUUUUUCACCAGGUUGUCGGAUAAACAAAGCAUAGCCAAUGGCAGGCUUACUCGAAAACAUGACAUACAUCUGGUGACAUAAUCUUAAAGAAGAUAACAAAUAUGAUACUGAGAUA